CCACGCUGCCGUAAAAAGCGUUCUCACGCUGCCGGAAACCGUGGUGGACGGAAGCCUCAAUAGCCCAAAAGGAGAUUUGCGCAUGCGCCGGCGUCUGUCACCGUCUUUUAAAAAAAGCUGGUGAGCCCCCCCGGGGCUUGUGACUGUCAGAAGGAGACUAGCAGAAUUUGUACAACACCAACGAAUCCUCCUGAGCUCUCGCCCAGUCCGAGCUACAAAGAAGCAAGACCUCAGUGUAGAUUUCUUGAUCUGCUAUUAAAGGAAGAAAGAAAGAAACAGAACCCACUUACCCCGAAUGUGUCUAGUGGUUAAAAGAGUCACAAAGGAAGGGAAAUUAAAAUGCAUCUCAUGCCCAAUGGAACGCGUCUGCAGAGACGUAACAGAAACCCGAUGAUGCCUGCACAUCGAUCAGCAGAGCUGACUAUUCCUUUCAGUUUAUUAGAGUCUUUGCCUUCCAUUGUAAAGAAUGAAAGAACUCACCCAACGAAAACUAUGAAGUCAGUCUGGGACAGACAAAUGAGAGAGUUCAGAGGAGAACCAAGCCUUUGAGAAAAACUGGGCAUGUUUAAUCUGGAGAACGGUGGAAUGAGAGGUGCCAUUAUGAUGGUGUAUAAAUAGGCAAUGGUGUGUUCUCAGGAGGAGAAGGAUCAGUUCUUCUCAUUAGUCACUGAGGCCAGAAGGAGAAGAUGCAGUCGCAAGGACAUCUGAGGUUCACCGUUUGGAAAACUUAUCUAGUAUAACAGCAGAUAGGCAACCAAGCAAGCUGCCAUAUCAGUGGAGAUGCUGGAAUCAGACUGACUUGAGACAUCCAAGGAUGGACUUGACACCCAUUCAUUAGGAAUGCCUUACAUAUCAAUCCUGCCCCAGUGCAGGGGUAUGGACUAGAUCACGGAUUCUCAGCCUAGGGAUUGCAGUCCUCAGGGGGUUGUGACCACCCUGCUUUUCCCCAUAUUAUUAAAUAUGCCAGAUGAGAGAGGUUUCCUGGGGUGGAGAAGAUUGAGAACCACUGGAGAAGGUGGUCCACUGAGAAGAUCCUAUCCAACCUGAAUGAGUCCAUAACACAUCACCAACAAAGUUUAGAACAUGACUUCAUGUGUGACAUACCCAUAUU